UUCAUUCCUGCUUCCCGGACAAGCACAUCCUCAGGUUUCUUCUCCCCAUCAGCCGCCGAUUCUUUUGCACUACACACAUAAAACAUCGGAAUUUAGCAAAAGCUUACUGAAAUAGAUUUAAUUGAACUUGAUAUGAUAAAUUUACCGAGUAAUUUAAAGACAACAAACAAAAGCAUUUAUUCAAGUUGAACAAGAGUUAACCAUUCCACUGAUGGAAAAAAAACUAAUAUGAUAAAGAAAGUGCAUAAUUAGAAACAACAGAUGGGGCACUAACGGCAUACCAAGCAGACAAAUAAAUAUGACAUGAACGCUCAA
rnacentral:lncRNA from 1 species